CGAGGCAUCGGAUUUAACGUCCCCAUUCUGACCGGACGUGACUGCGAACUUGAUACAUCCCGCACAGCCAAACGGACGCCCCACUUCGUUUUACUGCCGGUCGGGGAAGACCAAGUGACCAUAUUUCGUUUCCCCAGUCACCCUUGGGGAACUUUAAAUUAGAAACAACAGAAAUCCAUAUAUGUGAUCAAACUGAUCGACAUGUAUCCUCACAACC
rnacentral:lncRNA from 1 species